GGCUAGUUGGUCUAGCGGUAUUAUUCUCGGUAUGGGUGCGAGAGGUCCCGGGUUCAAAUCCUGGAAGGGCCC